UACGUAGGGACCGAGCGUUGUCCGGAAUUAUUGGGCGUAAAGAGCUCGUAGGCGGUUCGGCAAGUCGGAUGUGAAAGCCCGGGGCUUAACCCCGGGUCUGCAUUCGAUACGGGCAGACUAGAGUGUGGUAGGGGAGAUCGGAAUUCCUGGUGUAGCGGUGAAAUGCGCAGAUAUCAGGAGGAACACCGGUGGCGAAGGCGGAUCUCUGGGCCAUUACUGACGCUGAGGAGCGAAAGCGUGGGGAGCGAACAGG
rnacentral:rRNA from 1 species